CUCUCUCAGACAAAAAAAAAACCACCACGGCUUGCAGUCAGCCGGACCUCCACCCACCACGACCUCAGCCAGAGCUCAGCCGGACCUCCCACACACUCAACCGACCUCCACAUUCAUUUUUCUCACCCAAAAGCAAUGGAUGGCUCCAGAGCUCGUUCUCCCAUUGUCCGAGCAUUUUCCAGGGCAUAUCACCUACAGAGAGAACGAGUACUUCAGUGCUAUAAAGGAUAAGUUCGAAGCCUUUAAGUUGACUGAUAAGGUGAAGGAAAGUCCCUUCGGAUCUUUUUGGAAUGCCAGUAUUCUUCAAUUCUCCGGGGUGAUUGUGCAUCAACUGUUAUUGAGGAAAAAGAAGGUCAGUGAAGUUAAAAACGAUGAAGUGUGGUUUUACGUGGGUAAAACGGAAGCCAGAUUUGGGAGGUCUGAGUUCAGUUUGAUCACAGGCCUAAAGAUGAGCGGUGGCCCCUCGACAGCAGAAUUGAAUACAUGUAACAGACUUCUAAUUUGUACGAUAUUGAACGAUAUGUGUGCGAUUUUAAAUUUGUACGACUUUAUUUGUACUUUUUUCUGAUUUGAAAGGCACUUGGUGCCUUUCAUGUACAUGUAACAAACUUCUAAUUUCAGUUCAUACACCAAAGGAUCCA